ensembl:lncRNA
AUGCCACCCGCAGCUCGGCAAGCGAUGGUGUCACUAGCACCGGCACCCAGUCCCAGCCACCAGCAUCCUUCAUUGUCACCCCGUGCCAUGGCCAGCGGGCACCUCGUGGUGCAGCCCUGGUGUGCACCGGGGGGCUCCGGGCACAGCAUCGGACCCUGCUUUGCACCAGGCACCUGUAACCCAGGAGGGGAGCACAGGCGGUGGCACCGCCAUGGGGGCCAGCACCAAGAUGCCCCCAGCCCGGAGAGAGUGAAGGGUGGCAGUGCCACCGCGGUGCCACCGGGUACCAGCUGGACCAGAGCUGCCGGGCGUGCAGCCAGAGCCCCUCGCCUUCCGCCCACCCCAGCCCUUUGUGUGGCAGCUUCAAGGGGCCCCCGAGCCCUCCUCCUCCUCCUCCUCCUCCUCCCUCCCAGCACGGCCAUUGUUCGGGUCCUACCUCCGAGACGCGACGUCCCCGCUCAGCGCCCCGCUCCCACGCAGCUGACUGGGGACGGGGGGGGACCGUGGGUGUCCCCGUCCCCUGGCCGCUGCCGCGCCGCAGCCCGGUCCCGUCCCCUCCGGGGCUCAAUCGCGGGCUGGCGCCCGGCUGCGCUCGCACAUGCCCAGCAUGGCAAUAACCCUGCCUCCCCCGCCCCCCGCCCAUGCACCGAGUUUGCCCGUUCUGAGCUCAGCCUCCAACACAGCCAGCAGCAACGGGGACCCCGGCACGGCGACGCCCCCACCCCCAAACGGCACCCUGAGCACCCACGGCGUGGGUGGCCCCUGAGCACCCCCAACAGCCCCGUGGCACCCAGGGCUGUCCCCGGGGCACCCACCUGGCACCGGGCGGUGGUGGGGGAAGCACCGGAGACCCCCACGCCCGGCGCUGCCCACCCCGCUGCCGCAGUGCCCCACGGCGCCUGCGUCCCCCAGCCCACGCCGCAGCCUCCCUGCCUGGCACAUAUGUGCCAGCCAUCUCUUGGCGUUGGCGAGGCUCGAGCAGCAGCUUGCCGCCGGCCCAAGCUGCCGACGCAGCCACGUGCCAUGUGUCCUGGGGACAGGGACCCGCAGGGCCUGCCCCGGCAGUACCGGGAGGCAGAUGGAGCGAUGCGCUCAGUGCUGUGCGUCCCGGGGAGGGGGGACCGGGUGCCCCGUGCCCACCAGUGGGCACGAGCCCACCUUGCUGGGAGGUGCGGGAUCAGCCGCUGUGGCUGCCAGGAUGCAGCCGGUGACCGGGAAGGCGGCAGGGAUGGGGACAGCAGCGCUGCAUGGCCUGGCGAGCAGCCGGGCUGGGAGCAGGGGGGGAGCACCCCAGGGUGCUGCGCACGCCAUCCUCCCGGGGGGAGAUUUUCUCUCUCCAAACCUGGCAUGGCCCAGCUCCCAUCCGCCCACAGCACCCCAGCGCCCUUGGCUGCAUUGGCUGGGGCUUUCCUCGGAAAUGUCAAAACAGCCCGGGACUUCCUGGUGACAGCCGUGACACCCAGCUGGCGGGGGGGGGGGACGGGCGGCAGGGUGCUGCCCGCAGCAGCGCCUGCUCCCGUGGGUGCUUGGAGCGAGCUGGGGGGGGCUCGUCCUGCCCUGCCCCCCAACCCACCUCAGCACCAUGCGGUGCCAGGACCCCCACCUGCCCCCACCCUGUCCCCAAGGUUGCCAGGACAGAUCCGGAACCAAGCGACGCAGCCACUGCCUGCAGCCACCCCAGUGGUGCCCCCACCCCCAGUCCCCAAGCCACAACCAGGAGGACGAGUGCCACCCGCUCGCAACCACCCCGAGCUCAGCGUGGGCAGGAGGAGCUGGGCCAGCCCUGAGCAUCCCGCGUGUCCCCACCUCACCUCUGCUCCCCCAAGCAGGGGACACCCCCGGCGCCCCACAAAGCUUUCCCACCUCCACACGAGCCGCCACCCAUCGCCAACCCAGGGGGCCCGGCCACCGCAGGCAGGGCGCAGCGCCUGCACCCUUGGCUCCCGGGGCUGCGAUACCCACACAGGGGCUGCCAGCACGGCUGUCACCUCCUGCCCCACGCCGUGCCGUGCCGGCGGCAGCGCCGAGCAGACACAAACAGCCGGAGGGGUGCGGGUGGAGCCACGCGGAGCUGCUGGGUGCUGCACCCACAGCCCCCCGGCAGGGCGCCAGCCCCCCGGUGCCGCAGGCGACCCCGCCGCCCUCCGCCAGAAACCGCGGCCGAGAGCGCGGCGGCCGGGCGGCCCAUGUGGGGCCAUUAGGGAGCUCUUCAUUAUCUCUUCAUGUGGCCCAGGAUAA